UUUAUAGAGAGUUUGAUCCUGGCUCAGGAUGAACGCUGGCGGCGUGCCUAACACAUGCAAGUCGAGCGGAGUUGAUGAUUAGCUUGCUAUGAUUCAGCUUAGCGGCGGACGGGUGAGUAACGCGUGGGUAACCUGCCCUAUACAGGGGGAUAACACACCGAAAGGUG
rnacentral:rRNA from 1 species